AUCUUAUCAAGAGUGGUUGAGGGACUGGCCCUAUGAAACCCGGCAACAGCUAUCUUAAUUCAUUAAGAUAGAAAUGUGCUAAUUCCUGCAGGAGUUUUCCUGAAAGAUAAGAA
rnacentral:ncRNA from 2 species